rnacentral:lncRNA from 1 species
GAACAAUGAAGAUAUAUUCAAAUCGGAUCCAAGUACUAAGAGAUUCUUUUAAUAGUCAUCUUACUAGAAAUAACUUGAAUACAACUGGAAGUAUACAACAUAUUGCUAGGCUAAUGAAUGAAAAGACAAAAACAAAAAAGGUCGGGCAAGGUUUAACCUUGUCGGGCAAGCCUGGUCGUCUUGCAGGUUCCUAUCUUUGUGGCUUAUCAAGGGUCUGAGAGCUUUUAGGGAGAGGUAAAGAGAGGAGUUUACAAAGAGAAAUUGAUACUACAGCAAGGUUGAAUAGGGUAGCAGAGCUAUUACAAGGGUUUGAUUGAAGGCUUGUCCUGAGAGGGAUGAAGGCUUGGGCUGACUACAGCAUCGUUCUGAAGGCAAAUCUGGCUUUGAGCAGAGUUUGUGCUUGCAUUUGUUUGUUUGUUUGAGUGUCCUUAAUCCUGAUUUCUCUUUCUUCUUUUAUAGACAACUCAGCUUGGCCUCUUGUAACAGCAGCCCUGCCCGAAUGCAACUUGAGAGGCAGUGACUCAUCAGCUUUUUUACUUGUUCUGCCAUUAUAAAGUACUUUAUGGGCUGUAUAGCUGAUCAGUCUAUACCACUUGGUUUUUGGGUAGGUGAGCAAGUGGUCUUCAUGAGCUGCACCAAGUCAGAAAAGCCCAUUUUCUGCUUUCUGGGUUUUGGCUGGGCUUAGGCCGGCUCUUCCUUUAGGCAUCCCUUUGGGCCAGCCCCUUUCCUGAGCCCAAAGUUCAAGUUUUGAUCUAAACACAAACCAUCUCACAAUGCAACACGAUCGUCACAUACUUUGUGUAAUAAAAUUGAUCUCUUAAUUAAAAAAUGAGAUGCAUGGCGAACACACAUAAAAAUAAAUCAAAUGUUUGUAAGAAAUAAUGAAAUAGAAGAGUAUUCAAUACCAAAUGACAUAUGGUUUGUACAUACAUAAAAAAGAAUUAGGGACGCUUAACGCCUGUGAUAAUAAAAAAAUCCCUCUGCAUAGAGGCUAAGGGCUGGUUUGGUAUUGCUGUGCUUUGAAAAAAAGCUGCUGUGAGAAUAAGCGGCUGUGCUGUGAAAUAAAUCAGCAGAGUGUUUGGUAAACUUUUUUGUAAAAGUGCUUUUGGAAAAAAAAGCAGUCUAAUAAUGGGUCUUUUCAUUAAAGAAACACUGUAGCUCCGUGUGCUUUGAAAAAAAGCCAGUUUUCCAAAGCUGCAAAUAGCAGCUUCAGCUUUUUCCUUUGAUUUCAGCUUAUUCUCACAGCAGCUUCCAAAAUAAGCCUUUUUUUUUUUCAGUUUACCAAACACCUAAAACCCUCACAGCUUUUUUUCAUGGGUGCUUUUUUUUUAAGC